rnacentral:rRNA from 1 species
CCUACGGGAGGCAGCAGUGAGGAAUAUUGGUCAAUGGGCGCGAGCCUGAACCAGCCAAGUCGCGUGAGGGAUGAAGGUUCUAUGGAUCGUAAACCUCUUUUAUAAGGGAAUAAAGUGUGGGACGUGUCCUGUUUUGUAUGUACCUUAUGAAUAAGGAUCGGCUAACUCCGUGCCAGCAGCCGCGGUAAUACGGAGGAUCCGAGCGUUAUCCGGAUUUAUUGGGUUUAAAGGGUGCGUAGGCGGCCUUUUAAGUCAGCGGUGAAAGUCUGUGGCUCAACCAUAGAAUUGCCGUUGAAACUGGGAGGCUUGAGUAGGUUUGAGGCAGGCGGAAUGCGUGGUGUAGCGGUGAAAUGCUUAGAUAUCACGCAGAACCCCGAUUGCGAAGGCAGCCUGCCAAGCCAUGACUGACGCUGAUGCACGAAAGCGUGGGGAUCAAACAGGAUUAGAUACCCUAGUAGUC